rnacentral:rRNA from 1 species
ACAGGUGCUGCAUGGCUGUCGUCAGCUCGUGUCGUGACGAUGUUGGGUUAAGUCCCGCAACGAGCCGCAACCCCUAUUGCUAGUUACCAUCAUUAAGUUGGGGACUCUAGCGAGACUGCCAGUGAUAAACUGGAGGAAGUGGGGAUGACGUCAAAUCAUCAUGCCCCUUAUGACCUGGGCUACAAACGUGAUACAAUGGCUGGAACAAAGGGAUGCGAAGCAGUGAUGUGGAGCGAAACCCAUAAAAACAGUCUCAGUUCGGAUUGAAGUCUGCAACUCGACUUCAUGAAGUCGGAAUCGCUAGUAAUCGCGGAUCAGAACGCCGCGGUGAAUACGUUCUCGGGUUU